rnacentral:rRNA from 1 species
GACGUAGGGCGCGAGCGUUGUCCGGAUUUAUUGGGCGUAAAGAGCUCGUAGGCGGCUUGUCGCGUCGUUCGUGAAAACCUGUGGCUCAACUACAGGCUUGCGGUCGAUACGGGCAGGCUGGAGUUCGGUAGGGGAGACUGGAAUUCCUGGUGUAGCGGUGAAAUGCGUAGAUAUCUGGAGGAACACCGGUGGCGAAGGCGGCAUCCUGGACCGACACUGACGCUGAGGAGCGAAAGCGUGGGGAGCGAACAGG